UACGUAGGGGGCAAGCGUUGUCCGGAUUUAUUGGGCGUAAAGAGCGUGUAGGCGGCCAGGUAGGUCGGUUGUGAAAACUAGAGGCUUAACCUCUAGACGUCGACCGAAACCAUCUGGCUAGAGUCCGGAAGAGGAGAGUGGAAUUCCUGGUGGUAGCGGUGAAAUGCGCAGAUAUCAGGAAGAACACCCGUGGCGAAAGCGGCUCUCUGGGACGGUACUGACGCUGAGACGCGAAAGCGUGGGGAGCGAACAGG
rnacentral:rRNA from 1 species